rnacentral:lncRNA from 1 species
AGGACAUAAGGGUGGAGUUCCGUCAAGUUUUUGGCGAAUCAAGUGCAAAUUAAAUUCAGAUGAAGCUGCCAUCCCAGGGAAAUUGCUUCUUUUAUUUUGUGGUCUAGAGUGAUUGGAAGCCCUUCAUUGUUGAAGGAAGUUCUUUUCUUUUUUAUCAGCUGGCAUAGUCCCUGUACAUUUCACGCCGUCGCUGCUUAAUUUUAUCAUUUCUUUCUUCAGAACAGGUACGCUUCCCUUUCUAUUUAUGACUAAACAUCCAAACACAUGAUAUCAAAAUUCAAAAAGUAAAAAUAUGUACAAAAUCGCAGCGCGAAUGAGCAGUUAAAGAAAAUAGAAUAGCAAGCACAAAGUAAGUUAUUGCUAAAUUGGCCUUUAGCUAAAAAUAUAAUAGUGCAGAAAUUUGGCCCCACAACCCUACAAAUUCAUCCUCUUUUUGGAUUUAUUUAUUCAACACAAGGUAAGUUAAUUGCAUAUUUAUUCAUUCCUUUUUCAAAACCUUUUUCUGUGUGUGUAAUUGAAUUGGUUGUUCCGAAAAGAAUUAAUUUCAAAUCUGGUUAAUCUAGUGUCUACAGAGUUUAGCUUUGUGGGUUUUGUUCUGUGAUAGAAGAAUUUACUUUUCAAGAAUUUGUCAGAACCAUGCAAAAUUAGAGCAACAAAGACAAUAUCGCAGAUUUUAAAAUAAAAUUAUUAUGCAAUUACCUUGAUAACAAUAAAAGACAAACAAGAAACAAACUUCAAACUCGUAAAAAUACCAAUCUUUGCUCAAUCAAAAUUAAGAAGAAAAACCGAAGUAGAAAGAAGGUAAAAGUUAGCGGUGAAAAUGGAUAAGGAAGAAAGUCAAACGGCUAUAUGAUAAGAGAAAAAGCAGUUGAAAACGACCAAAAUGCCCUUCUUAUAUAAGCAGACAUGUCGAUGGUGUCAUGUCUGAUUCACCAGCCACACUCUGACUUAUUAUAUAGGAUAAAAUAUGUAUGGAAGAAAAUAUUAAGAAUUUCAAUGUAGUUUUUUUUAUUUCCCAUCCGGUAUUCAGUGCCCACAUUGGAGCCUCGACUAAUCUGGAUCGCGCACAGCAGGGCCCAUUAAGAUGGCGGCGCUCCCAACAGAGUUUUCUCCAUACCUAGGGUCGAACCCUCGACCUUUGGUUAAGGGUGGAGCAGCCCCAUCCACUGCACCACAACCCAUGUUGGUAAUGUACUUGUGUUUUGAACUGUACUAUUGAGUAUGAAAAGACUCCAAA